GAAGAUCAUUCUUUCUACCACCUUAUAACUAGAUCACUGAUGUAUCUAAUCUAGAUGGAUCAUUCAAAUAGGUGCACGAUCCAUACAAUGGUUUUCAUGGUCAUUCAAGUCGAGCGCCGAGACACUCGAGGUGAUGAGACACAGCGAACUAGCUGAGUACCUACGUAGCUAAUCCUUGAUCUUGUCUUGAGUGAAAGGGUGUCGUUUGUUAAUUCAGAGACUGACUAAAAGGUAUACUCAACUGCAUCUUAGUUUUGUGCUCCUGCAUAUUGUUAUUGUGUUUAUUCCUAUCAGCUAAUAUAAAUAUCAUAACUCUCAAAGUUUUCAUUAUUAGUUUUUUUUUACAGAUUCUUGAAGCUUUACGUGCUGGAUUCUCCAAUGUAAUUGAAGUAGCUCAACAUAGUUACAUUGUCAUGGUAGUAAUCUUUGCCUGUUGUUGACUUAAGAGAGCUAGCUGUUUGCUAGAAUAUAUUAAACUGCUAAUUUUACACCUAUUUAUGUACAUGUCAUCAUAGUAAUUUCAGAACCAGUUUUGUUUUAUGAAAAUGCUAGCUCUUUCAUAGUAUAGAAAUAUUUUCACGAAUUAUAAUGGCAAAUUAUUUUUCUUGUUUUCAUGAGUAAUAAUGCCAAAUGCUUUCCUUAUGGUAUUCAUUAGUUAAGGCACUGCGUUUCGGAUCGACGACGCUUUAUGCAUGGGUGGGGUUGGUUGUUUUGAGCCACUUAAUUUACGGGUGGCGAUUGCUGUCACCGUUGUUUAAUACCAAAUAUAUUAUCCGUCUGGCUAGAUUUUUGUUUGUGUUUGUGUCACAGGCUGCUAAGAAUGUUCUAGCUGCUGCGGCGGUGACACCGUCAGUUCCUGCUUUCAGGGCACCCUACUGCAAAUACACCUUCUGGAUCAGGUAUGUAUCAUAUGGCCAUUUGUCUCUCCAGCACGCACAUGAACUACAACCUUAAUCGUGCUCAGUAGCAUAUUUUGUGAUUGGAGUCCUCCCAUCUGGGCGCCGCCAUCGUCCUCGCACCGUGGCGCGCUGCGCCGGAGACACGGACGAGGUCGAGCAGUAUGUGCCUUCGUCCUCUUCCCUCGGAGUGUGGGGCCGAGGAGAAGAAAUAUGUGGCAUCUUCAUCGUUGUCCUCUUGGCGCGCGGUGCUGGAGAGACAGAAAAGGAGGCGCGCGGUGCUGGAGAGACAGAAAAGGAGGCCGAGAGCUGGAAGUGCGCCAUAUUGUAGUGUUUUGUUUGAUGGGGAAAUAUCUUUGUAUGCCAGCA